GACGAACGCCGGCGGCGUGCUUAACACAUGCAAGUCGAACGGAAAGGCCCUGCUUUUGUGGGGUGCUCGAGUGGCGAACGGGUGAGUAACACGUGAGUAACCUGCCCUUGACUUUGGGAUAACUUCAGGAAAAUGGGGCUAAUACCGGAUAGGAGCUCCUGCUGCAUGGUGGGGGUUGGAAAGUUUCGGCGGUUGGGGAUGGACUCGCGGCUUAUCAGCUUGUUGGUGGGGUAGUGGCUUACCAAGGCUUUGACGGGUAGCCGGCCUGAGAGGGUGACCGGCCACAUUGGGACUGAGAUACGGCCCAGACUCCUACGGGAGGCAGCAGUGGGGAAUAUUGCACAAUGGGCGGAAGCCUGAUGCAGCAACGCCGCGUGCGGGAUGACGGCCUUCGGGUUGUAAACCGCUUUCGCCUGUGACGAAGCGUGAGUGACGGUAAUGGGUAAAGAAGCACCGGCUAACUACGUG
rnacentral:rRNA from 1 species